UACGUAGGUGGCAAGCGUUGUCCGGAUUUACUGGGCGUAAAGGGCGUGCAGGCGGUCUGUUUAGUCUAGGGUGAAAGCUCCCGGCUCAACUGGGAGAGGUCCUUGGAUACUGGCAGACUUGAGGGAGGCAGAGGAAAGUGGAAUUCCCGGUGUAGUGGUGAUAUGCGUAGAUAUCGGGAGGAACACCAGUGGCGAAGGCGACUACCUGGCCUGUUCUUGACGCUGAGGCGCGAAAGCUAGGGGAGCAAACGGG
rnacentral:rRNA from 1 species